UACGUAGGGUGCAAGCGUUAAUCGGAAUUACUGGGCGUAAAGCGUGCGCAGGCGGUUAUGCAAGACAGAUGUGAAAUCCCCGGGCUCAACCUGGGAACUGCAUUUGUGACUGCAUAGCUAGAGUACGGUAGAGGGGGAUGGAAUUCCGCGUGUAGCAGUGAAAUGCGUAGAUAUGCGGAGGAACACCGAUGGCGAAGGCAAUCCCCUGGACCUGUACUGACGCUCAUGCACGAAAGCGUGGGGAGCAAACAGG
rnacentral:rRNA from 1 species